GGGCCCAUAGCUCAGUUUGGCCAGAGCGUUCGACUCUUAAUCGAAAUGUCGGGGGUCCAAAUCCCCCUGGGCCCG
rnacentral:tRNA from 1 species